rnacentral:rRNA from 1 species
GUUUUUUUGUUAAAUUAAUUUAAAGUUUAGCCUGCCCMCUGAAGUUUUAAAUGGCCGCAGUAUUUUGACUGUGCUAAGGUAGCAUAAUCAUUUGUUUCUUAAUUAGAAGCUAGAAUGAAUGGUUGGAUAAAAAAAAAUCUGUCUCAUUAAAAAUUUAAAUGAAUUUUAUUUUUAAGUUAAAAAGCUUAAAUUUUUUUAAAAGACGAGAAGACCCUAUAGAGUUUAAUAAAAAUAGAAGUUUUAAAUUUUUAGAAUUAAUUAAUUAUUUUUAAUUUUUUUUUUAUUUGAUUGGGGUGAUUAAAAAAUUUAAUUAACUUUUUUUAUAAAAAACAUUAAUUUAUGAAUAGUUGAUCCAUUAUAAUGAUUAAAAGAUUAAAUUACCUUAGGGAUAACAGCGUUAUUUUUUUUAAAAGUUCAAAUUAAAAAAAAAGUUUGCGACCUCGAUGUUGGAUUAAAAAAAAUUUUUGGUGGAGAAGCUAGAAGUUUAGGUCUGUUCAACCUUUAAAAUUUUACAUGA